rnacentral:tRNA from 1 species
GACCUGGUAGCUCAGCAGGUAGAGCACCUGACUUUUAAUCAGGGGGUCGCGGGUCCGAAUCCCGCCCGGGUCACCA